AUGAAUGAAGGGCACCGAUGCCACCAAUCCCCUUUCAUCUUAGGGGCGACUCUAUGCCUUCCCGGCUUGGCUUGCUUUCUUGGCCCAGACAAUUUAUCUUUACUUGGCUCAGUCUCUUUGAACCUCUACCUAGAGCAUCUUCGAAUCUUGUUGAAUUGGUCUACCCCAUUACCUUAUUGUUUAGUUAGAACCGGAAUCCCUAUACCUAAAGCUACUUAUUCAGAUUCUGUUAUUAAACCUGAGCCUUCUGAAGAGUCCAUGUCCCUUUAG